GAACACCGGUGGCGAAGGCGGCUUUCUGGACUGUAACUGACACUGAGGCACGAAAGCGUGGGGAGCAAACAGGAUUAGAUACCCUGGUAGUCCACGCCGUAAACGAUGAGCACUAGUUGUUGGGUCCGAAUGGAUUCAGUGACGCAGUUAACGCAAUAAGUGCUCCGCCUGGGGAGUACGGUGGCAACACUAAAACUCAAAGGAAUUGACGGGGACCCGCACAAGCAGCGGAGCAUGUGGUUUAAUUCGAAGCAACGCGAAAAACCUUACCAGGGCUUGACAUCCCUCUGACCGGUCCUUAACCGGACCUUUCUUCGGACAGAGGUGACAGGUGGUGCAUGGUUGUCGUCAGCUCGUGUCGUGAGAUGUUGGGUUAAGUCCCGCAACGAGCGCAACCCUUGUCGUCAGUUACUAACAUUAAGUUGAGGACUCUGACGAGACUGCCGAGGUUAACUCGGAGGAAGGUGGGGAUGACGUCAAAUCAUCAUGNCCNUU
rnacentral:rRNA from 1 species